ACCAACAAACAGGCUACACUCAAAAAAAUGAUUUGGUCUAAAUUGUUCCAGUGUUCAUGUGUUUCCACACUACAGAGUGUUCAAGUAGAAUUGAAGCAGUGCUGGAGUUAAGGAGAUAAUUAUGUGAUGAUUGAUCAUUAAUGAUGAACACCUGCUGUUAUCAAGAAGAAUCACCGAAGGAAAGAGAAACACAAGAACUACAACUGACUUGAGCCACAGCUGAAGAUGAAAUCAACUGAAAAAAAAGAAGACAUUAAAUCUCUCAAGAUCUGAUUAAACGAGUAGCAUCUGCCUGCAAAACCGGAGGCUGCAUUUUCAGGACCGCAUUUCUAGGACCGCAUUUCUAGGACCCUAGGUUGUUAGUGACAGCGCCACCUACCGAAUUAGAGGACCAGCGAGCGAAGAUGGAUGACAGUCAGAGUGUGAGUAUCAAAUGUGAAUACAUUUUUAUUUGUUUAACAUUAAAAACAAUUGUGAUGCAUUUCAUUGGAAAGUUAACAUAGCCGAAGAUAUCGUGAUUUGCUAAAUAGUCUUGAAUUCAUAGCCGUCAUAUAUUAGCCUCUAAUGCUGUAAAAUGAAUUGUUAGCACAUUAAUUUAACGAAACUGUUGCAUGAUAAGCCUGUGUUGACUUAUUGACAGCACAAUAAACUGUAGCACGUUCGUUGUGAAAGCUUGUUAAUUACUCAUUGUUUUUCCAUUUUAAUUAAGUUAAAAUAAUCUUAAUGUUUUAACUGUCACAUGCUCACAGUCAGCCUGUUUAACGUUACCCCACAAUACAUGUUAUGAGUACGUCUCUUCAUUUUGACAUGGUUUUAUAAUGUUGUUUGAGACAUAUGACAUUUUAAUAGUCAGACAUAACAGAGAGGCCAUCAUAAUAAUUGACUGUUAAAAUACCACGUGUUAGAUUGUCAUUUACUGUGUACUGUACUCUAUAUGAAGUGCUUUCAAGGACACAGAUCAAGGCAGGCAAUAGUAUGACAAAAGAUUAAUAAAUAAAUUUGUUGUUUGUUCAAGAACACAAAUAAAAGUCGGGACAAUGGUGGGCAGUUCUUCUUUCUUUAAUUCUAUACUGUGCAAUAACUGAAUCACGAACUCCAUUAACACAGGUGUCUCUCUUUCUUUCUUUGAUAAUUAACUGGACAACCAAAAUCUAACCCAGAGUGGCCAACAAACCCAGAAUGGCCAACAGUGCUUAUUCCUGAGUUUAGUCUGGGUGUAUUCAACACAAUACACUACAAAAUUGGUCAAGUAUUGGAAUUGUUUUUACACAAUGUGUAAACCCUUUUUAAGCGUUAACAGUAUUUCUGAUUAUGUUCUCCAUUUACUGUUUCAGUGAAGUGGAAGAAUUGAAUAGGGUGCUAGAGAAACAACUGAGAAAAGAGGUGAGAGCAUCCAGGUGGAGUCAGUGAAGACGUCGUCCAUGAAGUUCUUUCUAUGUGGUUCACGUCAUGAACAAAUUUGUUUUUGUGUGUGUUCAAGUUCAACUGUUGUAAUAUAUUAUUUUAUAAAAUAUACACAAUCUUAAAUCUA